rnacentral:rRNA from 1 species
CUACGGGGCGCUGCAGUGGGGAAUUUUGCGCAAUGGGGGAAACCCUGACGCAGCAACGCCGCGUGAAGGAUGAAGGCCUUUGGGUCGUAAACUUCUGUCAGUGGGGAAGAAAUGCCCGCAAGGGAGCUGACGGUACCCACAAAGGAAGCACCGGCUAACUCCGUGCCAGCAGCCGCGGUAAUACGGAGGGUGCAAGCGUUGUUCGGAAUUAUUGGGCGUAAAGCGCAUGUAGGCGGUCUGUUAAGUCUGGUGUGAAAGCCCGGGGCUCAACCCCGGAAGUGCAUUGGAUACUGGCAGACUUGAGUAUGGGAGAGGAAAGUGGAAUUCCGAGUGUAGGAGUGAAAUCCGUAGAUAUUCGGAGGAACACCAGUGGCGAAGGCGGCUUUCUGGACCAAUACUGACGCUGAGAUGCGAAAGCGUGGGUAGCAAACAGGAUUAGAUACCCUUGUAGUC